rnacentral:lncRNA from 1 species
GCCCCACCCCGGCGCGACCGGAGGAGGCUGCGCGGUCGCUGAGGGCUGCGACUCCUGCCACCCUCACCUGGGACCACAACUUUCUUCCCCUUCGUCUGGGGACCGCGACCCCUACCCCUUCGCCCUGGACUUCCACCCCCACUCCGUCUUUGCCCGGGACCCCGGCCCCGCCCCCCUCGCCCCGGGUCCCCGCCCUAUCUGGCGGUCCGCUUGGUGGGGUCGGGAGAGCCGCUCGAGCGCGCUCGCAAGAAGGGAGAAGGCGGUGUCGCCUGUCAGUGGAGCGGAUGCCCUGGGUUGCUGUCGACCAGCAACAGUCUCUGGAUUUGAAGGGAAAUGCUGAAGACUCAGGACGUCUUCCCAAACACGAGCAUGUGCCACCCAUCCCAACCCAUUCUUGGCGGGGGCGGGGGGAGAUUAGAGUAAAUUACGGUCACCUCCUGUAAGCUUGCUGCCUGACUUCCUGUAUCCCUGCUCCGGUUGGUUGUUGAUUAUAGACGUACGUACGAACUGGAAAGGCUUCUCUCUCUGGGACACUGUCCAGUCUUCUGCGUGCACCUGUGUUUCUUACCUGUUCCUUUCGAGGUAUCCAAAUGCCGACAGGACUGCGCUUCGGACUUAGACGUCUUGACUGGGAAGAUCAUAUAUUGCCAUCUGUGUUCGGCGCCUUCUGCUUUGGCCUACGUUGUCACAUACUCGCUCUGAGAAACUUGCAUGUUCAAAAUGCUAUUCACAGCAAUGUCUUUGAAGAUAAUCACGUAAGACUGAGGUUUCCUCUGAUGUUGAAAGCACAUACACGUUUCAGGGGGAAAGUCAUAUUGUAGAGUUCGCUUUCCCAGAAAACCUCUUGGGUGUAGUGUGACCCUUCUCAGCUGCCUCCAGUUUGAACCUCUCGGCCUGAGGUGUCUACCCUUGGCCCAGAGAAUAGUCCAGAGGCCCAGCGAUGUGGUCCACCUUUGAAAGACCGUGAAGUCUCCAAAGCUGGCGAGCGAGGUGAACUGGGAGCUGUAAAAGAGUCGGCUCUUGGAGGUCCCAGUCGUGGCGCAUCAGGACGAAUCCGACUGGGAACCAUGAGGUUGCAGGUUCCAUCCCUGGCCUCGCUCAGUGGGUUAAGGACCCAGCGUUGCCGUCAGCCGAGGUGUCGGUCGCAGACGCGGCUCGGAUCCCCAGUUGCUGUGGCUGUGGUGUAGGCCGGCAGCUGUAGCUCCGAUUAGACCCCUGGCCUGGGAACCUCCAUGUGCCCUGGGAGCGGCCCGAAAAA